rnacentral:rRNA from 1 species
UACGGAGGGUGCAAGCGUUAUCCGGAUUCACUGGGUUUAAAGGGUGCGUAGGUGGGUUGGUAAGUCAGUGGUGAAAUCUCCGUGCUUAACAUGGAAACUGCCAUUGAUACUACUGGUCUUUGAAUUUUCUGGAGGUAAGCGGAAUAUGUCAUGUAGCGGUGAAAUGCUUAGAUAUGACAUAGAACACCAAUUGCGAAGGCAGCUUACUAAAGUUUAAUUGACGCUGAGGCACGAAAGCGUGGGGGAUCAAACAGG